rnacentral:rRNA from 1 species
GCAGGGAAUAUUGCGCAAUGGACGAAAGUCUGACGCAGCGACGCCGCGUGAGGGAAGAAGACCUUCGGGUUGUAAACCUCUUUUCCUGGGGAAGAAUAAUGACGGUACCCAGGGAAUAAGUCUCGGCCAACUACGUGCCAGCAGCCGCGGUAAUACGUAGGAGGCGAGCGUUAUCCGGAUUUACUGGGCGUAAAGGGGGUGUAGGUGGCUUUUCAAGUCGGAUGUGAAAUCUUCCGGCUUAACCGGAAGGGGUCAUUCGAUACUGUUAGGCUAGAGUGCAGCAGAGGGAAGUGGAAUUCCCGGUGUAGUGGUGAAAUGUGUAGAUAUCGGGAGGAACACCAGUGGCGAAGGCGGCUUCCUGGGCUGUAACUGACGCUGAGACCCGUAAGCGUGGGGAGCAAACAGGAUUAGAAACCCGGGUAGUCC